rnacentral:sRNA from 1 species
AGCAGCCGCGGUAAUUCCAGCUCCAAUAGCGUAUAUUAAAGUUGUUGCAGUUAAAAAGCUCGUAGUUGAAUUUCGGGAUCAAUAUGUUGGUCGUGCCUAGGUACGUACUGUCAUUAUUGGUUUCUCCCUUCUGAAGAACCACGAUGCCAUUAAUUUGGUGUCGUGGGGAAUCAGGACCUGUUACUUUAGAAAAAUUAGAGUGUUUAAAGCAGGCUCGCGCUUGAAUACAUUAGCAUGGAAUAAUGAAAUAGGACGUUUGAUUCUAUUUUGUUGGUUUCUAGGAUCGACGUAAUGAUUAAUAGGGAUAGUUGGGGGCAUUAGUAUUCAAUUGUCAGAGGUGAAAUUUCUUGGAUUUAUUGAAGACUAACUACUGCGAAAGCAUUUGCCAAGGAUGUUUUCAUUAAUCAAGAACGAAAGUUAGGGGAUCGAAGACGAUC